AAUACGAGAGGCCCGAACGUUAUUCGGAAUUACUGGGCUUAAAGAGUCCGUAGGCGGCUCAGAAAGUGGGGUGUGAAAGCCCUCGGCUCAACCGAGGAAUUGCGCUCCAAACUCCUGAGCUCGAGGAACCUAGAGGUGAGCGGAACUGAUGGUGGAGCGGUGAAAUGCGUUGAUAUCAUCAGGAACACCGGAGGCGAAGGCGGCUCACUGGGGGUUUUCUGACGCUGAGGGACGAAAGCUAGGGGAGCAAACGGGAUUAGAUACCCCGGUAGUCCUAGCUGUAAACGAUGAGCACUGGACCGGAGAUCUGCACAGGUUUUCGGUCGUAGCGAAAGUGUUAAGUGCUCCGCCUGGGGAGUAUGGUCGCAAGGCU
rnacentral:rRNA from 1 species